rnacentral:lncRNA from 1 species
UCUCUAUUGUUGAGAGAAAAAUUUUCUCGUGCUAGUUGUUUUGGUAGUGAUAAAGGCGCCCACACGUCAAGUGCAGAUCGAACCUGAGUCAUAACCUGGAAGAUCAUUGGUGACAGUUCGUGAUCUAACAAGCGUGGUGGUGACGGAUGGUGAUCAAACAAGAGUGGUGGUGAUGGAUCGUAAUCUAGGAGCCUAAAUCACUCCAGCGGAAAAAGCCAAAUCGGAUUUUCAAGGUACGAUUUCUGGAUUACGUAUUCCUAUAUAUUAUAUGAGAGCGGUCCUUAAAAGGUUUUAUAAAAUUUUUAAAACCUGAUUUUUCCCCAACAGUAUAACAUUACAUUAAUUUUCUAUAGUUGAUAUUUUUUUUCUUAAUUGAUUUCAUGGAUUAAUUAUAUGCAGGCAUUCCUCAUGUAUGCUUGUAUGCUUGGGCAGAGGAAGAAAACACUUUGAAGAUCAAAAAAGCUUUUUAAAUGGCUGUAAUAUGUUUAAUUGCGAUGUUCAUUAGUGUAUCAUAUCCAAAUAUUGAAAAAUUUGUGCACUGAUAACUUUGUUUAUUUAUAUUAAUUAAUCUAAUCAUUUCUCAAACUGUCGGAUUGCAAAUUUAGUUUUUUUACUGCAAUUUAUGAACACACGAUUUGGUCGUGUAAGGUCAUGUAACAUAUGAUUCAAGGUCGUGUAAUAUACUCGUGUAAUACAUGACCCUCAAUCGUAUAUGACAUGACUUUGUGUAUUAUUACACGAUCUUAAAUCAUGUAUUACGAGUCUUUCACGACUUUCAGUUGUAUAUUACACGACCUUCACAUACUACACGACUUUAUGUAUUACAUGACUUUAUAUAUUACGCGAUUACACGACCUCCAUGAAUUACACGACCUUAAAAUUACACGACUUUUCCAUUAAUCAUUAGAUUAAUUUAAAGACUUAAUUUGUGCUAAGAAUUUAUAUUUGCUGCUAUGCAGAAAAUAUCAACGAAAAUUAUUGAAAAAAAGAAGUGAAAUUAAAUUAGAAUCUAAAUAAAUUCCACAUCAUCAUUGGUUUGAAUUGUAACUAGUGGCAUACGAUCAGAUGUCUUAAGCUUGAACUUCAUUGUGAUUUCGAAUUCUGAAGUAUCCAUAUCAAUAACUUGAGCUAUAUUCUCCACCAAUUCGACAUAUGUUGUUGAUCGUGGUAUCAUUAUCCCUUUAGUCUUGGAACCUUUGAACUUAUACUCGUCAUUUUGCUCAAUUCAUUCACCAUUAAAGAGAAUAGACACACAUACCAAAACCAUAUAUGAUGAUACAAUAAAAACAAUAAUAUCAAAUUUCAUAUACAAGUAACUACAAGAACUACACGACCUACACGACUACAUUACUGACAUGACUUACACGACCUACAUGACUAUAUUACUUACAUGACCUAUACGACUUACACGACUAUAUUACUUACACGACCUACAUGACUAAUUACAUGGCGUACACGGUAUCAAAAGGAAUGCACGACGCGAAACAUUUUUGCCAUAAAUAAAUUAUAUUGCUGAAAAAAAUAAUGAAACAACCAACAUUGUCAUAUAUUUCUACAUAUAAGAAAAAAUGGUGAAAAUAAAACAUUAUAAUGUGAGGAAAAUUUCUAAAUUUUCCUAAAAAUUAAAAAAACUUAAAACCCAACAACAUUAACAUACCUUAUUGGGUUGUUUAAUGAGCAAUGCACCUCAUUUCAGUUAAAUAAAGAGUGGAUGUUAAAGAAAUGAAUAUAUAAUUGUAUUUGUGUAAGAAGUUAUAAGAGAUUUUGAGAGAUUCUAGGAGAUUUUGAGAGAAUUUCGGCCACAAAAAGAGAUUUGGGUGAAGACAAUGAAGUUGAGUGAAUUUGAUGCAUUUAUUAAGGGCAUUUAAGACUUCACUCAUAUUUAUUAGGGUAUCCAUGAAAACCAAAAAGGGAGGGGGUAUUUAAAUAAUUUUGAAACUAUUAAAGGGUAUUUAAUUAAACCCUUUCCAAGUCACGUGAGAGGGUCAACUCUUUGCCAUGUCAGCAUCAAAGUGACUUUGCUGUUAAAACACAAUUAUCGAUAUACCAGUUGAGUAGGCUGAUAAAAUAAGUUGUUGAUUAAAAUAAAUAAUUUGGUGUUUAGUAAAUUGCAUUGUUUGGUUGGUGUGAAUUUAAAAAGUAGAAUAUAUGCGUUUGAUAAAUUUUAUUACGAAAGUGUUGUUUUAUUAUAUAAUAACUAAAAUAAAUAUAGGUUUAAA